rnacentral:lncRNA from 1 species
CACCUAUUUGACGUCAUUAGGUGGUUAGAGCGGUUUAUCCGGCAGACAUGCGCAAAUCGUUUACGACUAGCUAAUUAAUUUAGAUAUCCUUUCUCUUGCACCGCUUUCUCGUUUGUUGACAACAUGGCAGACGAAGAGAUCGAAGACGAUGUCGUGUUAACAGUAUGUGUUACUGUUUGCACGGAAGAAGUCAGUUCACUUCUCAAAAACAUGGAGGAGAUAACAGAAAAUGGAUUGGACGUGGUGAAGAGAGAGGAACCAUGAAUCCGUUGAUUCAAGAGCUGCGUCUCGAAAAUAUUUCAUCAUAUCGUUAUGGCUCCAGCCACGCUCAUCCAAACGAAAUUAGCGCCGUUUCUAUCCAUCAUUCUUUGCGACAACCGUUUACUGCGCAUGAUCGUCGGCACUUGGUAGUCGAAAAUAUCAACAAGACAGAUAAAUCUAUGGU